ensembl:lncRNA
GUAUUCUACAUUUUUGUCCUAUAUUUACCCAGUGACAAUUUUAUGAUUGGUUUAUAGGCUACUACAAUCACCUUUUCCCCCAAUCUUUUUUUUUUUUUUUAGACAGGACAUAUAUUUUUAUAGUUUCUAUACUAAAUGAUACGUCAGUUAGCACUGCAUUAUUCAGAAACUUAAUUUGUUUAUUACCUGGAGAUGACUUGAAAAAAUGCACAUAAACCAUAUAAUCUCUCUAUCAUGUGUUUAUUGUCUUCAAGUCAGCCAAAACAUUUCUGCUUUUUAUUCAGCUCAGCUACGGCAGAUAUUGGUUUGCCUACAGCGAUAACUGGAUGCUUUUGUCCAUAUUAGGGAUUUCCUGCAUGUCAUACACACUAAACAAUGCUGGGUUAUUUAAUCUACCCAACCGCUGGGUUAUGAAAUGCUUUACCCAUUAUGGGUUAUUUAUAUGGAAUUUGGGUUAUUUUGUGCAACUCAUGCGUUGAGUCAAAAUCCAUCAACCCAAUUUAUAUCGGUUGACCCAGCACGUGGGUUGUUUGUGCUUCGAACCUCAUCAUCACCAGAGUCCACACACCGAGCGCUCGUCACAGCAGAGAACCUGACUGCUCAUGCAGCGAGGCCAAUAAAUAAUAAAAGAUCAAUGGACAGCUUUGUCAUUAACACUGACAGACCUUGUCGAAAGAUUUAAAGAGGAGGGGAUUGAUGAAGAUAGUUUUCUUUUAGAUGAGGCUACCAUCAACCAGUUGAUCCUAAAACAGGAGGGGAAGCUGACAUUGCCCCUGGAUGGAUUAACACCAGGUAAUAUUCUUGUCAGCAGAUCUUGUAAAUGCAGGGAAUGCGAUGGAACAUGCGUGAUAUUUAUGCAAUUUUAUGUGAUGAAAUUGGAGGUACAUAAACCAUAUAAUCUCUCUAUCAUGUGUUUAUUGUCUUCACGUCAGCCAAAACAUUUCUGCUUUUUAUUCAGCUCAGCUACAGCAGAUAUUGGUUUGCCUACAGCGAUAACUGGAUGCUUUUGUCCAUAUUAGGGAUUUCCUGCACGUCAUACAUGAUCACUUCUAUGAGUCCGUUUUGGACGAGUAUAAAUGAAACAUACACUGCCUGAGAGUGUGUAGUUGAUGUUAACAUUGCCUCAUUCUGGACACAAAUAAAAUGUCAGGUCAUGCAUAGAUUAUCCUAAUG